AACGAACGCUGGCGGCAGGCUUAAUACAUGCAAGUCGUGGGGCAGCAUGAAUGUAGCAAUACAUUUGAUGGCGACCGGCAAACGGGUGCGGAACACGUACACAACCUUCCCAUAAGUGGGGAAUAGCCCAGAGAAAUUUGGAUUAAUACCCCGUAACAUAAUGAUGUGGCCACACAUUAUUAUUAUAGCUACGGCGCCUAUUGAUGGGUGUGCGGCUGAUUGGAUAGUUGGCGGGGUAACGGCCCACCAAGUCUACGAUCAGUAGCUGAUGUGAGAGCAUGAUCAGCCACACGGGCACUGAGACACGGGCCCGACUCCUACGGGAGGCAGCAGUAAGGAAUAUUGGUCAAUGGACGCAAGUCUGAACCAGCCAUGCCGCGUGAAGGAUUAAGGUCCUCUGGAUUGUAAACUUCUUUUAUCUGGGACGAAAAAAGGCGAUUCUUCGUCACUUGACGGUACCAGAUGAAUAAGCACCGGCUAACUCCGUGCCAGCAGCCGCUGUAACAC
rnacentral:rRNA from 1 species